rnacentral:rRNA from 1 species
UGGGGAAUAUUGCACAAUGGGCGAAAGCCUGAUGCAGCGACGCCGCGUGAGGGAUGACGGCCUUCGGGUUGUAAACCUCUUUCAGUAGGGACGAAGCGCAAGUGACGGUACCUGCAGAAGAAGCACCGGCUAACUACGUGCCAGCAGCCGCGGUAAUACGUAGGGUGCGAGCGUUGUCCGGAAUUACUGGGCGUAAAGAGCUCGUAGGCGGUUUGUCACGUCGUCUGUGAAAUCCUAGGGCUUAACCCUGGACGUGCAGGCGAUACGGGCUGACUUGAGUACUACAGGGGAGACUGGAAUUGCUGGUGUAGCGGUGGAAUGCACAGAUAUCAGGAAGAACACCGAUGGCGAAGGCAGGUCUCUGGGUAGUAACUGACGCUGAGGAGCGAAAGCAUGGGUAGCGAACAGG